GAUGAACGCUGGCGGCGUGCCUAAUACAUGCAAGUCGAGCGAACAGACGAGGAGCUUGCUCCUCUGACGUUAGCGGCGGACGGGUGAGUAACACGUGGAUAACCUACCUAUAAGACUGGGAUAACUUCGGGAAACCGGAGCUAAUACCGGAUAAUAUAUUGAACCGCAUGGUUCAAUAGUGAAAGACGGUUUUGCUGUCACUUAUAGAUGGAUCCGCGCCGCAUUAGCUAGUUGGUAAGGUAACGGCUUACCAAGACAACGAUGCGUAGCCGACCUGAGAGGGUGAUCGGCCACACUGGAACUGAGACACGGUCCAGACUCCUACGGGAGGCAGCAGUAGGGAAUCUUCCGCAAUGGGCGAAAGCUUGACGGAGCAACGCCGCGUGAGUGAUGAAGGUCUUCGGAUCGUAAAACUCUGUUAUUAGGGAAGAACAAAUGUGUAAGUAACUGUGCACGUCUUGACGGUACCUAAUCAGAAAGCCACGGCUAACUACGUG
rnacentral:rRNA from 1 species